rnacentral:rRNA from 1 species
CCCUUAGAUGUUCUGGGCCGCACGCGUGCUACACUGAGUGGAACAGCGGGUCAGGUUGCGCGAAAGCGUUUCCUAAUCUUUAAAUCCGCUCGUGAUGGGGAUUGACGGUUGCAAUUUUCUGUCAUGAACGAGGAAUACCUUGUAAGCGCGGGUCAUCAUCCCGCGCUGAAUACGUCCCUGCCCUUUGUACACACCGCCCGUCGCUCCUACCGAUUGAGUGGUCCGGUGAGGCUUUGGGAUCUGAGCGGAAAGAGCGUUUCGCUGUUUCUGCUCGGAAAACUCAGUCGAACCUUAUCAUUUAGAGGAAGGAGAAGUCGUAACA